UACAGAGGUCUCAAGCGUUGUUCGGAAUCACUGGGCUUAAAGGGCGCGUAGGCGGCUCGCGAGGUCGGGGGUGAAAUCCCACAGCUUAACUGUGGAAGCGCCUCCGAUACCGGCGGGCUCGAGGAAGGUAGGGGUGCGCGGAACUUCUGGUGGAGCGGUGAAAUGCGUUGAUAUCAGAAGGAACGCCGGCGGCGAAAGCGGCGCACUGGAUCUUUUCUGACGCUGAGGCGCGAAAGCCAGGGGAGCAAACGGG
rnacentral:rRNA from 1 species